GUUGCCGGUGGUGAGCGAUUCUCCAGGUGAUGAUACAUCAGUAUAGCAUGAGUGGCUGGUUGUGUGCGUGUUGUUAGUUAGCGAGCGUCUGUGUGAGUGAAUGAGGAUUUUGCAUGUUGUGUUUAUAUUUUUGUAAAAACCUACACAGUGAUCUUAUUUGAUCUGGUCUGAGUUUGGCCUGCUCUGACUAGAAAUGAUUUUAAAAAGGUGCUUGCGAGCUUCUAUGGAGGCAAUGAGCAGCCGGCGACAAACACGUAAAAGGGCCUCCAAGCUUCGUGCCGUGGUCAGAAGUGAUGAAUUGAUCAGAUACUCUAGUUCUGGGUCGGCUUGAGGUUCGCCUUUAAGCUUUACCUUUGUGAACAAUGAGUAAAGAGGCGAUUCUGAA
rnacentral:snoRNA from 1 species